rnacentral:rRNA from 1 species
UUAGGCAUGCAAGUCGUACGGGAUCCGGGGGCAACUCCGGGUCUAGUGGCGAACGGGUGAGUAACGCGUGGGAAACCUACCCUCGAGUUCGGGAUAACACUCCCAACGGGGUGCUAAUACCGGAUAAGACCACGGGACUGCAUGGUCCUGGGGUCAAAGGUGGCCUCUACUUGUAAGCUACCGCUUAAGGAUGGUCCCGCGUCCCAUUAGCUUGUUGGUGGGGUAAUGGCCUACCAAGGCGACGAUGGGUAGCUGGUCUGAGAGGAUGGUCAGCCACACUGGGACUGAGAUACGGCCCAGACUCCUACGGGAGGCAGCAGUCGAGAGGCUUCGGCAAUGGGGGAAACCCUGACCGAGCGACGCCGCGUGGGCGAUGAAGGCCGUUAGGUUGUAAAGCCCUGUCGUGCGGGAAGAAAUGCAGGUGGGUAAACAAUCCAUCUGUUUGACGGUACCGCGAAAGGAAGCUCCGGCCAACUCCGUGCCAGCAGCCGCGGUAAUACGGGGGGAGCAAACGUUGUUCGGAAUUACUGGGCGUAAAGGGCGUGCAGGCGGCCUUGUAAGUGGGAUGUGAAAUGCCCUGGCUCAACCAGGGAACUGCAUCCCAGACUGCAAGGCUUGAGUAUAGGAGAGGAUGGGGGAAUUCCCGGUGUAGCGGUGAAAUGCAUUGAUAUCGGGAGGAACACCAGUGGCGAAGGCGCCCAUCUGGCCUAAUACUGACGCUCAGGCGCGAAAGCUAGGGGAGCAAACAGGAUUAGAUACCCUGGUAGUCCUAGCCGUAAACGGUGGGCACUAGGUGUAGGAGGCAUCGACCCCUCCUGUGCCGCAGCUAACGCAUUAAGUGCCCCGCCUGGG